GACGAACGCUGGCGGCGUGCUUAACACAUGCAAGUCGAACGGAAAGGCCCUGCUUUUGUGGGGUGCUCGAGUGGCGAACGGGUGAGUAACACGUGAGUAACCUGCCCUUGACUUUGGGAUAACUUCAGGAAACUGGGGCUAAUACCGGAUAGGAGCUCCUGCUGCAUGGUGGGGGUUGGAAAGUUUCGGCGGUUGGGGAUGGACUCGCGGCUUAUCAGCUUGUUGGUGGGGUAGUGGCUUACCAAGGCUUUGACGGGUAGCCGGCCUGAGAGGGUGACCGGCCACAUUGGGACUGAGAUACGGCCCAGACUCCUACGGGAGGCAACAGUGGGGAAUAUUGCACAAUGGGCGGAAGCCUGAUGCAGCAACGCCGCGUGCAGGAUGACGGCCUUCGGGUUGUAAACCGCUUUCGCCUGUGACGAAGCGUGAGUGACGGUAAUGGGUAAAGAAGCACCGGCUAACUACGU
rnacentral:rRNA from 1 species